AGUAACGCGUAAAGAACUUGCCUCACAGAUAGGGACAACAUUUGGAAACGAAUGCUAAUACCUAAUAUUAUGAUUUUAGGGCAUCCUAGGAUUAUGAAAGCUAUAUACGCUGUGAGAGAGCUUUGCGUCCCAUUAGCUAGUUGGAGAGGUAACGGCUCACCAAGGCGAUGAUGGGUAGCCGGCCUGAGAGGGUGAUCGGCCACAAGGGGACUGAGACACGGCCCUU
rnacentral:rRNA from 1 species